GCUUGCGCUGAUCCCUCCACCCGCUCGCCUUCUUCCCGGCAACCCAGGCCCCACCCUAGGCGCAGCGAUGGGUGCCCGAGCACGGGUGACGGCGGCGACGCUCGCGAGGGCGGACGCCGGUGGCGACAUCGUCCACCAGGACGUCGACGCGCCCAAAUCCUCGGCUACUCGAACGACUUCAUGCUUGUAUUCUCCGUCUCUCCAGCCGCCAGACAUGAAGAAGAAGUCUGCGACUCUGGCGGCAGUUGCCCACGGCCAAUGAGAAGGAAGUCGCGGUAGUUCCAGGGACAAGAAGAUGACAGCAGCCCCCCGACAGCCUCCUGCAAGCACAGCGAGGUAAAAAGGGUGGUGUGGUUCGGUUGGAUGCCCCGUUACUAAAAAAUCUUGUUGAAAAACUGCAGGUUUCUGUAAAGAUAUAUGUUUGAGUAGUGUCCGAAUUUACCAAGGUGUUAGCUUUCUUAUUCAGGAAGAGGUUGUCAAGAAGACAAAAUCAGUUGGGAAGCUCAAACAAGAAGCUGAGAAUUGCCUAUAAUAGAGUGAAAGAUUUAACAACGAGAAGGCUGAGUUUGAGCAAGCUUCCUUCACAAAAGCAUGUCAUGGACCCUUUGUUCCUGGCCUCCACUCCGUCGAGGCACAUAUGAGGGUUACCAUGAUUCUGGUAGUGCUUGUUCUACCAUCAGGUGGAGGGCUAUGAGGAUGUUGUGGCAAUAAGACUAUGACGCCAUAUAGGUUCAAUCAGUAUAUGAAGCAGAUGCCACGUACUAUAUUGCUUACCUGUGCAGGGCUAAGAGGAAGUUGAUGCAUGGCAGGGGACGGAGGUGCAGCAAGAUCCUGGAGAGGCCGCGCCGAUGCAUCUUCCAAAGGGUGACUCGAAACCAGCAGAGGGACAGGGAUCAUGCGAAAAUGCUGAUUCAGUGAAAAUCUGGAAACUCAACUUGUGGGCCAUCGGAUCAAUAAGGAGCGCACAGAUGAGAUGGUGGGCUUGCUAAUCACCUGGUUGUACAUUUACACGGGGCUGACUGUAUUCAUGGCAAAUUUGUUGGCAACAAGUAGGGUGAUUCAUGGAAAGUAAAAUGGUUAUUUUCUCUGAUCUAAACAUGUGAUAAAAAACAUGGCAAUUUCUGAAACUUUUAUUUGUACUAAUCGUUUGUUUGUAGUUGAACGGUUUCUCAUACUAUGUUCGAACUUAUAUAUAUAUUUUAUU